GAUGAACGCUGGCGGCGUGCCUAAUACAUGCAAGUCGAGCGAACAGACGAGGAGCUUGCUCCGCUGACGUUAGCGGCGGACGGGUGAGUAACACGUGGAUAACCUACCUAUAAGACUGGGAUAACUUCGGGAAACCGGAGCUAAUACCGGAUAAUAUAUUGAACCGCAUGGUUCAAUAGUGAAAGACGGUUUUGCUGUCACUUAUAGAUGGAUCCGCGCCGCAUUAGCUAGUUGGUAAGGUAACGGCUUACCAAGGCAACGAUGCGUAGCCGACCUGAGAGGGUGAUCGGCCACACUGGAACUUAGACACGGUCCAGACUCCUACGGGAGGCAGCAGUAGGGAAUCUUCCGCAAUGGGCGAAAGCCUUACGGAGCAACGCCGCGUGAGUGAUGAAGGUCUUCGGAUCGUAAAGCUCUGUUAUUAGGUAAGAACAAAUGUGUAAGUAACUAUGCACGUCUUGACGGUACCUAAUCAGAAAGCCACGGCUAACUACGUG
rnacentral:rRNA from 1 species